UCAGUGGCAGAGCACUGCCAGGCCCAGGUGAACCCUCCUGGAUGCCACUCUGGGACUCCUGGCACACCUGAGCAUGACAUUCCCCAGCGGGCACCAGCACAGGUUAGCAGUAGAGUCCCUCAGUGUGAGCUGCUGGGAUCAGCACGGUGUCAUGAUGGAAAACUCUUCAGUUUACUGCAUCUGUAAAACUGCCUUAUUUCCAGAUUCCUCCUUGGAUCUGGCACUCACCUGUGCACACACAAACAUCAGUUUGUACCUGCCCAUGGAAGAGGUUUGGAAUGAGAUAAUCUUUAAGGUCCCUCUCAACCCAAACCUUUCUGUGAUUCUGUGAUCUGGUGGUGAAGCCAAGGAUGUGCCUUCAGUGAUGGACAUGGAAAAGACACCACCCAGACAGCUCAUCCUGCCAACAUUACCAGCCCCUCUGAGCUCCUGCUGGAACAUAGAAACGCUCCCAAGUUUUUAAUUAAACACUGU